UACGAAGGGGGCUAGCGUUGCUCGGAAUCACUGGGCGUAAAGCGCACGUAGGCGGCUUCUUAAGUCAGGGGUGAAAUCCUGGAGCUCAACUCCAGAACUGCCUUUGAUACUGAGGAGCUCGAGUCCGGAAGAGGUGAGUGGAACUGCGAGUGUAGAGGUGAAAUUCGUAGAUAUUCGCAAGAACACCAGUGGCGAAGGCGGCUCACUGGCCGGUACUGACGCUGAGGUGCGAA
rnacentral:rRNA from 1 species